rnacentral:rRNA from 1 species
CCCUUAGUAGCGGCGAGCGAAGCGGGAAGAGCUCAAAUUUAAAAUCUGGACCUUUUUACGAGGGUUCCGAAUUGUAGUUUUGUGAGGCGCCUCGUGGGGCGGGCCGGGAGCACAAGUUCGGUGGAAACCGACGUCAUGGAGGGUGAGAACCCCGUAGUGGCUCCUGGGAUCGCAACUGAAAUUUGGCGUCUUGAAGAGUCGGGCUGCUCGGGAAUGCAGUCUAAAAUGUCGGGUAAAUUCCCGAUAAAGCUAAAUAUGACGGCAAGACCGAUAGCGAACAAGUAGCGUGAGCGAAAGUUGAAAAGAACUCUGAAGAGAGAGUUAAAAGUGCUUGAAAUUGUUAAGGGGGAAUCGUUAAAGCGCGGAGUCUUGGCACUUGUGUUGAUAUAGGAGAGGUGUCGGGUGGCAGCGAAUUGUGCGUCAGUGUUGACUUGAUUGUUUCACCGGCGUGCUGUUCAGUUGUCCGGAACUCUCUGAUUUUCAGCGCAUGAGCCGAUCAACGUGGGCGAUCCGGAGAGAAUAAGCCUGGGCAUGGGGAGAGCUCGGGAUGCGCUUUGCGUAUCUUUGAACUUGUCGUCACCUUUGUCCUGAUUGGUUUGGUCUGCUUUGGGUCGUCGAGGAUAACAUUUGCACCGCACGCCUUUCUUUAGGCGGGGUAACGUUCUGGGCGGUGGGUUUGUACACCCUUCCACAAGGCCUUGUGUCUUAGUCGUGGGGCUGUGCAGGCUCGCAGGGUCCCAGUCGGUCCACCUGCAUUGCGGCUCAAGACGUUGAUAAUACGAGCUUUAACAUCCCGUCUUGUAACACGGACCAAGG